AACGAACGCUGGCGGCAUGCCUAACACAUGCAAGUCGAACGAGACCUUCGGGUUUAGUGGCGCACGCGUCCGUAACGGGUGGGAACAUGCCCAUAAGUUCGGCAUAAAUUCCCGAAAGGGGUGCUGAUACCGGCUAUUGUCCUCCAUCCAAAGAUUGAUCGCCAUUGGAUGGGCUUGCGUUGGAUUAGCUAGAUGGUAGGGUAAAAGCCUACCAAGGCGACGAUAGAUAGAUGGUCAGAGAGGAUGGUCAGCCACACUGGGACUGAGGCACGGUCCAGACUCCUGGAGGAUGCAGCAGAGGGGGAUAUUGGAAUAUGGGCGGAAGCAUGAACGAGUUAUGCUGGUAGAGUGAUUAAGGCCGGAGGGUUGUAAAGCACGUUUAUCCGGGAUGAUAAUGACAGUACCGGGAGAAUAAGCUCCGGCUAACUCCGUG
rnacentral:rRNA from 1 species